AACGAACGCUGGCGGCAGGCUUAACACAUGCAAGUCGAGCGCCCCGCAAGGGGAGCGGCAGACGGGUGAGUAACGCGUGGGAAUCUACCCUUUUCUACGGAAUAACGCAGGGAAACUUGUGCUAAUACCGUACGUGCCCUUCGGGGGAAAGAUUUAUCGGGAAAGGAUGAGCCAGCGUUGGAUUAGCUAGUUGGUGGGGUAAAGGCCUACGAAGGCGACGAUCCAUAGCUGGUCUGAGAGGAUGAUCAGCCACAUUGGGACUGAGACACGGCCCAAACUCCUACUGGAGGCAGCAGUGGGGAAUAUUGGACAAUGGGCGCAAGCCUGAUCCAGCCAUGCCGAGUGAGUGAUGAAGGCCCUAGGGUUGUAAAGCUCUUUCACCGGUGAAGAUAAUGACGGUAACCGGAGAAGAAGCCCCGGCUAACUUCGUGCCAGCAGCCGCGGUAAGAC
rnacentral:rRNA from 1 species